rnacentral:rRNA from 1 species
CAGCCGCCACGGGAAAACCAGCACCUCGAGUGGUCAGGAGGUUUAUUGGGCCUAAAGCAUCCGUAGCCGGUUGCAUAAGUUUUCGGUUAAAUCUAUGCGCUUAACGUAUAGGCCGCCGAAAAUACUGUGCAGCUAGGGAGUGGGAGAGGUACACGGUACUCGAUAGGAAGGGGUAAAAUCCUUUGAUCUAUUGAUGACCACCUGUGGCGAAGGCGGUGUACCAGAACACGUUCGACGGUGAGGGAUGAAAGCUGGGGGAGCAAACCGGAUUAGAUACCCGGGUAGUCCCUGUCUCUUAUAC